rnacentral:misc_RNA from 1 species
GUAUUUUUCGCGCUUUUAGACGCUAUAACUUUACAUUCGAUUAAACUUUAUAGUGUGUGUAAAAUAUUCAUAGCGAGGGCAUUCGUUACCCCGUGAAGGGUCCCGUAAUCAUCCCAAGCUACAGGUUGUGCACAGGUGUGAGAGGUGGAUGCGAUCAAGGCGUGCACAUGCCCCUGGAGGCCAGCAACAACCCUUCUCGACAAACGUUUCAUUAAUGAUCCUUCCGCAGGUUCACCUACGGAAA